rnacentral:rRNA from 1 species
GAUGAACGCUGGCGGCGUGCUUAACACAUGCAAGUCGAACGGUGAAGCCAAGCUUGCUUGGUGGUUCAGUGGCGAACGGGUGAGUAACACGUGAGCAACCUGCCCUGGACUCUGGGAUAAGCGCUGGAAACGGCGUCUAAUACUGGAUAUGAGCCUCUUCCGCAUGGUGUGGGGUGGAAAGAUUUUUUGGUCUGGGAUGGGCUCGCGGCCUAUCAGCUUGUUGGUGAGGUAAUGGCUCACCAAGGCGUCGACGGGUAGCCGGCCUGAGAGGGUGACCGGCCACACUGGGACUGAGACACGGCCCAGACUCCUACGGGAGGCAGCAGUGGGGAAUAUUGCACAAUGGGCGAAAGCCUGAUGCAGCAACGCCGCGUGAGGGAUGACGGCCUUCGGGUUGUAAACCUCUUUUAGCAGGGAAGAAGCGAAAGUGACGGUACCUGCGGAAAAAGCGCCGGCUAACUACGUG